rnacentral:rRNA from 1 species
AGAGUUUGAUCCUGGCUCAGGAUGAACGCUAGCGGCAGGCUUAACACAUGCAAGUCGAGGGGUAACAGGAAUAGCUUGCUAUUCGCUGACGACCGGCGCACGGGUGCGUAACGCGUAUAGAAUCUACCUUUUACUAAGGGAUAGCCUUUAGAAAUGAAGAUUAAUACCUUAUAGUAUUAUAGACUGGCAUCAGUUUAUACUUAAAGAUUUAUUGGUAAAAGAUGACUAUGCGUUCUAUUAGCUAGAUGGAGAGGUAACGGCUCCCCAUGGCGACGAUAGAUAGGGGUCCUGAGAGGGAGAUCCCCCACACUGGUACUGAGACACGGACCAGACUCCUACGGGAGGCAGCAGUGAGGAAUAUUGCACAAUGGGCGCAAGCCUGAUGCAGCCAUGCCGCGUGUAUGAAGAAGGCCUUCGGGUUGUAAAGUACUUUCAGCAGUGAGGAAGGCAGGUACGUUAAUAGCGUGCUUGUUUGACGUUAGCUGCAGAAGAAGCACCGGCUAACUCCGUGCCAGCAGCCGCGGUAAUACGGAGGGUGCGAGCGUUAAUCGGAAUUACUGGGCGUAAAGCGCAUGCAGGUGGUUUGUUAAGUCAGAUGUGAAAGCCCGGGGCUCAACCUCGGAAUUGCAUUUGAAACUGGCAGACUAGAGUACUGUAGAGGGGGGUAGAAUUUCAGGUGUAGCGGUGAAAUGCGUAGAGAUCUGAAGGAAUACCGGUGGCGAAGGCGGCCCCCUGGACAGAUACUGACACUCAGAUGCGAAAGCGUGGGGAGCAAACAGGAUUAGAUACCCUGGUAGUCCACGCCGUAAACGAUGUCUACUAGCCGUUGGGACUCUUGAAGUCUUAGUGGCGCAGCUAACGCACUAAGUAGACCGCCUGGGGAGUACGGCCGCAAGGUUAAAACUCAAAUGAAUUGACGGGGGCCCGCACAAGCGGUGGAGCAUGUGGUUUAAUUCGACGCAACGCGAAGAACCUUACCUGGCCUUGACAUGCAGAGAACUUUCCAGAGAUGGAUUGGUGCCUUCGGGAACUCUGACACAGGUGCUGCAUGGCCGUCGUCAGCUCGUGUCGUGAGAUGUUGGGUUAAGUCCCGUAACGAGCGCAACCCCUAUCCCUAGUUGCUAGCAGUUCGGCUGAGAACUCUAGGGAGACUGCCGGUGACAAACCGGAGGAAGGUGGGGAUGACGUCAGGUCAUCAUGGCCCUUACGGCCAGGGCUACACACGUGCUACAAUGGCGCGCACAGAGGGCUGCAAACCCGCGAGGGGGAGCCAAUCUCACAAAACGCGUCGUAGUCCGGAUCGCAGUCUGCAACUCGACUGCGUGAAGUCGGAAUCGCUAGUAAUCGUGAAUCAGAAUGUCACGGUGAAUACGUUCCCGGGCCUUGUACACACCGCCCGUCACACCAUGGGAGUGGGCUGCAAAAGAAGUGGGUAGUUUAACCUUCGGGAGGACGCUCACCACUUUGUGGUUCAUGACUGGGGUGAAGUCGUAACAAGGUAACCA